AUGUUUAGGCUGAACCAGAUCCAUGAGCAUCUUCCCAGUUCUGAGCUGGCCCUGCUUGGAAGGCAUUCACCUGGUGCUGAGCUCCAGGAGCGUGUGUGUGGCAGCAUCCCCACGAGCCAGUGCAGCCCAGAGCUCGGAGCCAGGCAGAUGCUCAGUGGGGCUGACACAGAGCACAGCACUGGGUGGAUGCUCCAGGGCUGGAGGCAGCACCGAGGAAGGCAGGAGGAGACAGCGCUGGGAAAUCAGAGGACUGGGAGAAGGCCAUGGGAGGACCAGGCUCACCCGCAUUCCUGCCCUCCCCUCGGUGCAAGGGGCAUCCUUCCCAAACAAUUCAUUUGGGGUCCUUGGAAGCACAGCCCCUGGCACAGCCUCUGGGAUCCCUCAGCAGUCCUCACCCUGCCUACCAACGAAGAGCUCCUUUCUGGGACCCCACUGGGAACAACUGGGAUCAUUAGCAUCAUAGAGCAGCACCUUCCUCUCUCCAGGAAGGACAUGGAGCUCAUCCUCGGGAUUUUUGCUGAAGGACCCUGAGGAGGUCUCACAUAAAUGCCUCCAACCCACCAGAGGAGGGAGUGUGCUAGAUCCACCCGCCGCCAGCCAGACUCAGGAACAACUGCCUUCAGUCCCAAGAACAUUUCAUCUCUUUUCCACGUGCCAGAGUUUUGUAAGCCAAGACAAGCUUCACUUUUAAAAAAAUAAUACUGUGAUACAGUUCUCAAAUAGCAAUGAUGAAUAGGAUAAUCCAAGGAAAACGUUUUCAAGUAAAGAGGUGGGUGCAGCCAGGAGCACCAGGAUCUGGUUUAUUGACUGCCAUCCACAUUAAUUUAUAUCCAUUGCCUUAAGAACAGAUGGAUUAGGAGUAGCCUUUCUGUCAAGGAAUGGCCUUUCCUGCAUGGGAUGAUCAGAAGUUUUCUCAAUCAAAUAUGCUCCUCGCUGAUAAAAUGCUCCUUCUUGUUUAUUUGAGAAAUGCUGAGAGAAAUAGGGUCGGGCAGGGAGGUUACAGACGUACCAGCUCCUGGCCAUGGCUGGGAAGCAGAAGGAAUGUGGAUUUCCUGGAUUUGUCCAUAUUCCAUGCUUUAUCCUGCUCUGGAGAGGCCCAAGAGCUGACACCACAGCUGUGAAAACAUCUCGCUGUCAUUCCAAUCCUCUCCUGAAGUUUUGUAGGAAAGGGGCACAAGUGGGAAUGCAGCACUGGAGUGUUCAGAGUCAUUGAGGGAGAAUGGGGCAGGGCUGGGCUCUUUGGUCACUGUGUAAACCCCAAAGGAGGGGAGCAGGAUUCCACCAGCCUGCCCAGUUUACCCCAGCACUGGGCAGGACUCCAGCCAGCUCCUGGCAGUGCCCAAAUCCCCCUGUGAGCAGGGCACAAGACCUCAGGGGAACACAGGCCCCAAAAUCACCAUCAGCCCCUGGGCUGCCAGUCACAAUUUCUCUUUGCAGAUCCCCUGGAACCAAUUCCUCCCCCAUGGGGUGGCACCACUCCUUCAGCAAGCUCUGAGCACUGAUUUCAGCCCUAAAAAAUAGCAAAUGCAGU
rnacentral:lncRNA from 1 species